AGUGAACGCUGGCGGUAGGCCUAACACAUGCAAGUCGAACGGCAGCACAGUAAGAGCUUGCUCUUACGGGUGGCGAGUGGCGGACGGGUGAGGAAUACAUCGGAAUCUACUUUUUCGUGGGGGAUAACGUAGGGAAACUUACGCUAAUACCGCAUACGACCUACGGGUGAAAGCAGGGGAUCUUCGGACCUUGCGCGAUUGAAUGAGCCGAUGUCGGAUUAGCUAGUUGGCGGGGUAAAGGCCCACCAAGGCGACGAUCCGUAGCUGGUCUGAGAGGAUGAUCAGCCACACUGGCACUGGGACACGGUCCAGACUCCUACGGGAGGCAGCAGUGGGGAAUAUUGGACAAUGGGCGCAAGCCUGAUCCAGCCAUACCGCGUGGGUGAAGAAGGCCUUCGGGUUGUAAAGCCCCUUUGUUGGGAAAGAAAAGCAGCAGGUUAAUACCCCGCUGUUCUGACGGUACCCAAAGAAUAAGCACCGGCUAACUUCGUG
rnacentral:rRNA from 1 species